AGGACGAACGCUGGCGGCGUGCUUAACACAUGCAAGUCGAGCGGAAAGGCCCUUCGGGGUACUCGAGCGGCGAACGGGUGAGUAACACGUGAGCAACCUGCCCUUAGCUCCGGGAUAGCUCCGGGAAACCGGAAUUAAUACCGGAUACGACCACGGCCGACAUCUGCUGUGGUGGAAAGGAUUCCGGCUAAGGAUGGGCUCGCGGCCUAUCAGCUAGUUGGUGGAGUAACGGCCCACCAAGGCGACGACGGGUAGCCGGCCUGAGAGGGCGACCGGCCACACUGGGACUGAGACACGGCCCAGACUCCUACGGGAGGCAGCAGUGGGGAAUAUUGCGCAAUGGGCGAAAGCCUGACGCAGCGACGCCGCGUGGGGGAUGAAGGCCUUCGGGUUGUAAACCCCUUUCAGCAGGGACGAAGCGAAAGUGACGGUACUGCAGAAGAGCGCCGGCAACUACGCGCUAGCAGCCGC
rnacentral:rRNA from 1 species